rnacentral:rRNA from 1 species
GACGAACGCUGGCGGCGUGCCUAAUACAUGCAAGUAGAACGCUGAAGGAGGAGCUUGCUUCUCCGGAUGAGUUGCGAACGGGUGAGUAACGCGUAGGUAACCUGCCUGGUAGCGGGGGAUAACUAUUGGAAACGAUAGCUAAUACCGCAUAAGAGUAGAUGUCGCAUGACAUUUGCUUAAAAGGUGCAACUGCACCACUACCAGAUGGACCUGCGUUGUAUUAGCUAGUUGGUGAGGUAACGGCUCACCAAGGCAACGAUACAUAGCCGACCUGAGAGGGUGAUCGGCCACACUGGGACUGAGACACGGCCCAGACUCCUACGGGAGGCAGCAGUAGGGAAUCUUCGGCAAUGGACGGAAGUCUGACCGAGCAACGCCGCGUGAGUGAAGAAGGGUUUCGGAUCGUAAAGCUCUGUUGUAAGAGAAGAACGAGUGUGAGAGUGGAAAGUUCACACUGUGACGGUAUCUUACCAGAAAGAGACGGCUAACUACGUG